rnacentral:rRNA from 1 species
GGGGUCAGUAGGUUGGUCGUGCCACCGGUACGUACUGGUCUCACUGAUUCCUCCUUCCUGAAGAACCGUAAUGCCAUUAAUUUGGUGUUGCGGGGAAACAGGACUGUUACUUUGAACAAAUUAGAGUGUUUAAAGCAAGCUAACGCUUGAAUACAUUAGCAUGGAAUAAUGAAAUAGGACGAUCGAUCCUAUUUUGUUGGUUUCUAGGAUUGACGUA